AGAUGCAUUCUCGUUGCCCGCCAGCUUAUCAAAAGCGUAGCAUCAUAAUCAAAGUUAACCUGAAAUAAAUUUGGACAACAUUACCAAAAGAAUACACAGAGUAAAAAACUAUACAAAAUACCGAUCAAACUCUAUUAGCCAAUAGACGUAUCCUUCUAGGUAAGCAACUAACAAUGUACAAUCCCCUCUGAAAUAUGGAAUUGAUCUCUAAUACUGUGAUUAGUAAAAAGCGAACAUUCAACCAAAAAAUUAAGACCCCCAUUUAACAUGUACAAUGUGAGACCAACAACACAAACAAUUUGGUGAGCAAAUAUGGCAUGUAAGGCAAUUGGUCUAGAAUUAAACGUGUCCGUUGUUCACCUCAAACCCAGAUGUAUUCAUGUUUUAUAUCAAAUUCAGAUUUGGGUUGAACUAAAAUAAUAGUUUCCCCAAUAGAAUAUAGCAGCUGCAUCUCAGUGGACACUACGUGGGCGACAUGAGCAGUGCUUGUAGAAAGAAGGGAUAUUUUGAAACAACAUUUUUCGUAAAAAAAGAAAACAGAAUAGUAGUGGGCAUCAUAGGUCAUAGUCCAUAACUGUUUUGAUGAGAUAAAAGAUAUGUACCUUGACGAUUUGUAUAGCCAAACCGUCAGCGAUGUUGCGGACAUCUCCCCCAUCCAGCUAAUAUAUACAACAACUUGAGAAAAGUAGUAAUAGAUGAUAAUCCUGAAUUACACAUGGCUGCAACCGUGAAGGCAAAAGGUCCACGUUCCUUGACCAGCACCUAAUUAUCUUUGUCAUCACUGAAAAGGUAGCAGACGCAAUUGUAGUCAAACAACAGCAUGCAUAUAUGUUUGAUAUAUCAAAAAUGGAAAGCCUCGACCCCCAACUUGAGAUCUUUCAAUACAUGUAAAUUCUAGACAACAUAGGCGAAUGUCUGGGUAAAACUUCUGUCCAAACUACUCAAAAAAUUAGAACAAUUAAACUCAGACUAGAAAAGCAGAAGUAAAUCAGCCAUUGUACGAUGGUGGAGGAAAAUAAAGGCAUUCGAUCUUGUGACAUUCUUAUGAAGCAUCAACUUACCUCUCUAACAGUCUUAUGGAUCCAUUUGAGUCAUUGAUGGUGGGUGAGGGUGCCAUUGUAUGCUACUCACUCCCUCCUGAUCUCAUCUAGGUUCAGUUUACAAUGAUCGGUAGAUCAAGUGUUACACAAAGUAACGUGGCUAGGCCAAGUGUUCGCUACAGAUGUGUACAAGCCAAGAAAAGGAAAUCAAAAAACUGUCCAUACAUUAUCACAUUUCAUAUUCAAAUGACAGACUCAACUUGCUAAGGAACCUGAGAGAACCGACCUAGUAUUUAUUGAUCUUACAGAAUGUAUGGUGAAUAGCUUUAUAUUGAAACCAUAAUUCCACAAAUUGAGACAUUCUGAAAAAUGAUAUUAGUUCUGUCCUUGUAGAUUUACUGUCUAUGAAGUAGCAGAUUUGGGGUUCCAAUGGCCGCUAGUGCUAUGAGGUCAAUCCUUUCCUUGCUUACAUUUGCGAUUUCAAAAUUUUCAAGAUGUCAUAAAGUGGGUAAGUACUACUGGUUAUGAGCAUUUAGAUCCUAUAGUAACUGAUGAUCUUGAACUGCAGAUACAUGAAGAGCUGAAGAAAUUUUAUUCUUGUACUCGUUCUAGAAGGGCAAGGGGAGGGCUAUAGAAAUUUUAUUUCUGCACUCCAACGGUUAUGCUCUAAGUCAUGUAUUUUAGGAAACAAAUUAUAUUAUCAGGAAAGAAAAGGUUUGGGAUAAUAUAGAAAACAAGGAUAUAUCACUAAUCUGGGAUGCAGUAUAUUUAGGUCAAUUCAUUAUAUGCUUUAUAUUUUUUGGAAGAGACUAUAAUUUAGGACACUAUUUAAAUUGUUUUUAUAAGUUUAGAUCUAUAUUUUAAGAUAUGACACCAAUUUAAGGGACCUUGGAGAUGCUCUGACAGAAGUGUUGAUAACAGACUUGCUAGUGAGAUCUCAAGCAGCUAGCUAGCUCGGUGUUUAAGGAACUCGCUGCCUUUCACACUUUGGACCUUUUGCUCGGUUAGUUUCAGUGCUACAGCCCUAAAUUUGACUUAUGGGCUAUGGCCUUAGCCUAUAAAGACAUCAACACAAUAUACCUUGUAUCUUUCAAACUUAAUUAUUUUAUACUCUAUAUUUCAGAUGACUGAACAAUAUACCUUGUAUCUUUCAAACACAAUAUACCUUUUAUACUCUAUAUUUCAGAUGACAAUACACAGUAAUUGAUAACCCUUCUCAGACUGAACAAAAAACGACUUAGGCCCCCCUACCAAAUCGCUCCAAGGUAUCUUAGUGCAAGAGGGAAUAAACAAACAAAAUUCUCCAAACGGAUUUCAGAUGCUUAUUGAAAGUCGCCUAGAGGGGGGGUGAAUAGGGCGAAUCUAAAAUUUAUGAACUUAAGCACAACUACAAGCCAGGUUAGCGUUAGAAAUAUAAACGAGUCCGAGAGAGAGGGCGCAAAACAAAUCGUGAUCAAAUAAAGAGCGAGACACGAUGAUUUGUUUUUCCGAGAUUCGGUUCUUGCAAACCUACUCCCCGUUGAGGUGGUCACGAAGACCAGGUCUCUUUCAACCCUUUCCCUCUCUCAAACGGUCACCUAGACUAAGUGAGCUUCUCUUCUCAAUCAAACGGAACACGAAGUUCCCGCAAGGACCACCAUACAAUCGGUGUCUCUUGCCUUGGUUACAAUUGAGUUUGAUCACAAGAAGAAUGAGAAAGAAAAGAAGCAAUUCAAGCGCAAGAGCUCAAAUGAACACAACAAAUCUCUCUCUCUAAUCACUAAAGCUUUGUGUGGAGUUGGGAGAAGAUUUGAUCUCUUUGGUGUGUCUUGAAUUCAAUGCUAUAGCUCUUGUAAGGUGUAGAAGUGUAGAAACUUGGAUGCCAUUGAAUGUGGGGUGGUUGGGGUAUUUAUAGCCCCAACCACCAAAAAUGGCCGUUGGAAGUGUGUUGUCGCAUGGCGCACCGGACAGUGCGGUGCGCCACCGGACACUGUCUGGUGCGCCAGCCACGUUAGCCAGCCGUUGGGGUUCGACUGUUGGAGAUCUGACUUGUGGGGCCUCUGGGCUGUCCGGUGGUGCACCGGACAAGUCCUAUAGACUGUCUGGUGCGCCAACUGCGCGUGCUCUGACUCUGGCACGCACUGUAGCGCAAUUAAUGCGGUUGUAGAUGACCGUUGCGCACGAAGUAGCCGUUGCUCCGCUGGCACACCGGACAGUCCAGUGUGGCACUGGACAGUCCGGUGUGGCACCGGACAGUCCGGUGAAUUAUAGCGGAGCGCCCUCUGAUUUUCCCGAAGGUAGCGAGUUCAGCGUUGAGUGCCCUGGUGCACCGGACACUGUCCGGUGGUGCACCAGACACGGUCCGGUGGCACACCGGACGGUCCGGUGCGCCAGACCAGGGUGCCUUGGGUUGUCUUUUGCUCUCUUUGUUUGAAUGCUAUAGCUCUUGUAAUGUGUUGAAGGUGGAAAACUUGGAUGCUAUUGAAUAUGGGGUGGUUGGGGUAUUUAUAGCCCCAACCACCAAAAUAUGGCUGUUGGAAGACUGCUGUCGCAUGGCGCACCGGACAGUCCGGUGCGCCACCGGACACUGUCCUGUGCGCCAGCCACGUCAGCCAGCCGUUGGGGUUCGACCGUUGGAGCUCUGACUUGUGGGGCCUCUGGGCUGUCCGGUGGUGCACCGGACAGGUCCUGUAGACUGUUUGUUGCGCCAAUUGCGUGUGCUCUGUCCUCUACGCGCGCAGGCGCGCAUUAAAUGUGUUGCAGUCGACCGUUGCGCGCGAAGUAGCCGUUGCUCCGCUGGUACACCGGACACUAUCCGGUGCUUCACCGGACAGUCCGGUGAAUUAUAGCGGGGCGGCCUCCUAUUUUCCCGAAGGUGGCAAGUUCAGCUUCGAGUUCCCUGGUGCACCGGACACUGUCCGGUGGUGCACCGGACACGGUCCGGUGGCACACCGGACGGUCCGGUGCGCCAGACCAGGGUGCCUUGGGUUGUCUUUUGCUCUCUUUGUUUGAACCCUUUCUUGGUCUUUUUAUUGGCUUAAUGUGAACCUUUGGCACCUGUAAAACCUAUAGACUAGACCAAACUAGUUAGUCCAAUUAUUUGUGUUGGGCAAUUCAACCACCAAAAUCAAUUAGGAAAUAGGUGUAACCCUAAUUCCCUUUCAAUCUCCCCCUUUUUGGUGAUUAAUGCCAACACACACCAAAGCAAGUAUAGAAGUGCAUAAUUGAACUAGUUUGCAAAAUGUAAGUGCAAAGGUUACUAAGAAUUGAACCAGUAAUUAUUUUCGUAAGAUAGGCAUGGAUUGUUUCUUUAUAUUCUCAACAUUUUGGACCACGCUUGCACCACAUGUUUUGUUUUUGUAAAUACUUUUGUAAAUUCUUUUCAAAGUUCUUUUGCAAGUAGUCAAAGGUAAAUGAGUAAGAUUUUAAGAAGCAUUUUCAAGAUUUGAAAUUUUCUCCCCCUGUUUCAAAUGCUUUUCCUUUGACUAAACAAAACUCCCCCUAUAUAGGAUCUUCCUCUUAGUGUUCAAGAGGGUUUUAAGAUAUCAAUUUUGAAAAUACUAUUUUCUCCCCCUUUUGAACAUAAUGAGAUACCAAUUUGAAAACAUCAUUUUAAAAAAAAAUUAGGUGGUGGUGCGGUCCUUUUGCUUUGGGCUAAUACUUUCUCCCCUUUGGCAUGAAUCGCCAAAAAACGGAUACUUGAGUGAAAUAUAAGCCCUUGUAGAACUACUUUCUCCCUUUUUGGCAAACAAAAUAUAAGUGAAGAUUACACCGAAGUCGGAGAGUUGUUCGGAGCGACGACGAAGGAUGAGUUGAUGGAGUGGAGUGGAAGCCUUUGUCUUCGCCGAAGACUCCAAUUCCCUUUCAAUACACCUAUGACUUGGUUUGAAAUAUACUUGAAAACACAUUAGUCAUAGCACAUGAAAGAGAUAUGAUCAAAGGUAUAUUUAUGAGCUAUGUAUGCAAGACAUUAAAAGAAAUUCCGAGAAUCAAGAAUAUUUAGCUCAUGCCUAAGUUUGUUAAAGGUUUGUUCAUCUAGUGCUUGGUAAAGAUAUCGGCUAAUUGUUCUUUAGUGUUGAUAUAAGCAAUCUCGAUAUCCCCCUUUUGUUGGUGAUCCCUUAGAAAAUGAUACCGAAUGGCUAUGUGUUUAGUGCGGCUAUCUCAACGGGGUUAUCUGCCAUGCGGAUUGCACUCUCAUUAUCACAUAGAACAGGAACUUUGGUUAAUUUGUAACCAUAGUCCCUAAGGGUUUGCCUCAUCCAAAGCAAUUGCGCGCAACAAUGGCCUGCGACAAUAUACUCGGCUUCGGCGGUAGAAAGAGCGACGGAAUUUUGCUUCUUUGAAGCCCAAGACACCAAGGAUCUUCCCAAGAACUGGCAAGUCCCCGAUGUGCUCUUUCUAUUAAUUUUACACCCCGCCCAAUCGGCAUCCGAAUAACCAAUCAAAUCAAAUGUGGAUCCCCGAGGAUACCAAAGCCCAAACUUAGGAGUAUAAACUAAAUAUCUCAAGAUUCGUUUUACGACCGUAAGGUGAGCUUCCUUAGGGUCGGCUUGGAAUCUUGCACACAUGCAUACGGAAAGCAUUAUGUCCGGUCGAGAUGCACAUAAAUAGAGUAGAGAGACUAUCAUCGACCGGUAUACCUUUUGAUCUACGGAUUUACCUCCCGUGUCGAGGUCGAGAUGCCCAUUGGUUCCCAUGGGUGUCUUAAUGGGCUUGGCAUCCUUCAUCCCAAACUUGUUUAGAAUGUCUUGAAUAUACUUCGUUUGGCUAAUGAAGAUGCCCUCUUGGAGUUGCUUCACUUGAAAUCCUAAGAAGUACUUCAACUCCCCCAUCAUCGACAUCUCGAAUUUUUGUGUCAUGAUCCUACUAAAUUCCUCACAUGUAGAUUCGUUAGUAGACCCAAAUAUAAUAUCAUCAACAUAAAUUUGGCAUACAAACAAAUCAUUGUCAAGAGUUUUAGUAAAUAAAGUAGGAUCAGCCUUUUCGACUUUGAAGCCAUUAGUGAUAAGAAAAUCUCUUAGACAUUCAUACCAUGCUCUUGGGGCUUGCUUGAGCCCAUAAAGCGCCUUAGAGAGUUUAUAUACGUGGUUAGGAUACUCACUAUCUUCAAAGCCGGGAGGUUGCUCAACAUAGACCUCUUCCUUGAUUGGUGCAUUGAGGAAGGCACUUUUCACAUCCAUUUGAUAAAGCUUGAAGCCAUGGUAAGUAGCAUAGGCAAGUAAAAUGUGAAUUGACUCAAGCCUAGCUACGGGUGCAUAGGUUUCACCGAAAUCCAAACCUUCGACUUGUGAAUAUCCCUUGGCCACAAGUCGGGCUUUGUUCCUUGUCACCACACCAUGCUCGUCUUGCUUGUUGCGGAAGACCCAUUUGGUUUCUACAACAUUUUGAUUAGGACGUGGAACUAAUUGCCAUACCUCGUUCCUAGUGAAGUUGUUGAGCUCUUCUUGCAUCGCCACCACCCAAUCCGAAUCUUGGAGUGCUUCCUCUACCCUAUGUGGCUCAAUAGAGGAAACAAAAGAGUAAUGCUCACAAAAAUGUGCAACACGAGAUCUAGUGGUUACCCCCUUAUGAAUAUCGCCGAGGAUGGUGUUGACGGGGUGAUCUCGUUGGAUUGCUUGGUGGACUCUUGGUUGUGGCGGUCUUGGAACUUGUUCGUCUUCCUUAUCUUGAUCAUGGGCAUCUCCCCCUUGAUCAUUGCUCUCCUCUUGAGGUGGCUCAACUUCUUGAUAUUCUCCUUCAUCAUUUUGAGCCUCAUCCUCUUCUUGAGUUGGUGGAGAUGCUUGCAUGGAGGAAGAUGGUUGAUCUUGUGCUUGAGGUGGCUCUUCGGAUUCCUUAGGACACACAUCCCCAAUGGACAUGUUCCUUAGCGCGACGCACGGAGCCUCUUCAUCACCUAUCUCAUCAAGAUCAACUUGCUCUACUUGAGAGCCGUUAGUCUCAUCAAACACAAUGUCACAAGAAACUUCAACUUGUCCAGAGGACUUGUUAAAGACUCUAUAUGCUCUUGUGUUUGAAUCAUAUCCUAGUAAAAAGCCUUCUACAGUCUUAGGAGCAAAUUUGGAUUUUCUACCUCUUUUGACAAGAAUAAAGCAUUUGCUACCAAAGACUUUAAAAUAUGAAACAUUGGGCUUUUUACCGGUAAGGAGUUUGUAUGAUGUCUUCUUGAGGAUUCGGUGUAGAUACAACCGGUUGAUGGCGUAGCAAGCGGUGUUGACCAUCUCGGCCCAAAACCGAUCCGAAGUCUUGUACUCAUCAAGCAUGGUUCUUGCCAUGUCUAAUAGAGUUCUAUUCUUCCUCUCCACUACACCAUUUUGUUGUGGGGUGUAGGUGAAAGGGAAAUGUGCCCUUGGGCCAUUUCUAAGUAUUUUGGUGAUUUAGUGUCCAACACAAGUGCCUAAGUGUAAAAUGGUGGACAAAGUACAAAUCAAGGAUAAAGGUAUGUUUCUCAGACUUAGUACAUUGUUUUAUGGACUAAUCUAUUGUGUCUAAGUGCUGGAAACAGGAAAAAUCCAAUUGGAAUUGUCUUGGCUCGAGCAGCCAAGACUCUGCUCAGUCUGGGAGCACCGGACUGUCCGGUGGUGCACCGGACAGUGUCUGGUGCGCCAGGCUGGUUCGAGCGAAGUGGCCGCUCUCGGGAAUUCACCGGCGACGUACGGCUAUAAUUCAUCGGACUGUCCGGUGUGCACCGGACUGUCCGGUGAGCCAACGGUCGGCCGCGCGAUCUGCGCGGGACACGUGGCCGAGCCAACGGCUAGAAGGGGGCACCGGACUGUCCGGUGUGCACCGGACAUGUCCGGUGCGCCAACGGCUCUCUGGCGGCCAACGGUCGGCUGCGCCAGUUAAGGAAAGAAAUCGGGCACCGGACAGUGUCCGGUGUGCACAAGACUGUCCGGUGCGCCAGUCGACAGAAGGCAAGAUCAGCCUUCCUAGAUUGCUCUCAACGGCUCCUAGUUGCCUUGGGGCUAUAAAAGGGACCCCUAGGCGCAUGGAGGAGAACACCAAGCAUUCUUACAACAUUCCUAAGCACCAAGACAUCGAUUCCACGCCUUUGAUUCUUUGCGAUAGCAAUUAGAGCUCUAGUUGAGUGGUGAACUCUUUGAGUUGUGUUGAGAGCUCUCCUUGUGACUUGUGUGCGUGGUGUUGCUGUGAUUUCUUGUCUUGAGUGCGUUGCUAAUCCCUCCCUUGCUCUGUGUUUCUUUGUGAUCUUAAAGUGUAAGGGCGAGAGGCUCCAAGUUGUGGAGAUUCCUCGCAAACGGGAUUGAGUAAAAGUAAGCAAAACACCGUGGUAUUCAAGUGGGUCUUUGGACCGCUUGAGAGGGGUUGAUUGCAACCCUCGUCCGUUGGGACGCCACAACGUGGAGUAGGCAAGCGUUGGUCUUGGCCGAACCACGGGAUAACCACCGUGCCAUCUCUGAGAUUGAUCUUGUUGGUUAUUGUGUUUUGUUGAAGAUUCCUCUCUAGCCACUUGGCGGUUAUUGUGCUAACACUUAACCAAGUUUUUGUGGCUUAAGUUUUCAAGAUUUACAGGAUCACCUAUUCACCCCCCCCCUCUAGGUGCUCUCAAUUGGUAUCGGAGCCGUUCUCUUCAAGAAAGGGACUAACCGCCCGAAGAGAUGGAUCCUAAGGGCAAGGGGAUGGUGAUCAACGACAAGGAGAAGGAGUCCUUCGUCAACGAGCCCAAUGAUGACAGGCCCACCGACUCAGGCUCGGGCCACAAAAGAAAAGACGGGAGGAAGAAGAAGACAAGGCGCAUCAAGGAAAUUGUCUACUACGACAGCGACGGAUCUUCCUCCUCCCAAAAGGACAACGACGACUACGACAGACGAAAGACGGUUAACUCAAACUUUUCUUUCAAUUAUUCGCGCAUUCUGCAUAGCUCAAAUGCUCAAUUGCUCCCCAUUCCACUUGGCAAGCCCCCUCACUUUGAUGGAGAGGACUACGGAUUUUGGAGCCACAAAAUGCGUACUCACCUGUUUUCUCUCCAUCCAAGCAUUUGGGAGAUUGUGGAAAGUGGAAUGAAAUUUGUUAGCUCGGAUAGCCCUGUGUUUAUUAAUGAACAGAUUCAUAAAAAUGCACAAGCUGCUACUGUGUUGCUAGCCUCUUUGUGCAGGGACGAGUAUCACAAGGUGAGCGGCUUGGACAAUGCCAAGCAGAUCUGGGACACCCUCAAGAUCUCUCAUGAGGGGAACGACGUCACCUUGCUCACCAAAAUGGAGUUGGUGGAGGGCGAGCUUGGAAGGUUCGCGAUGAUAAGGGGCGAGGAGCCAACUCAAACAUACAACCGGCUCAAGACCCUUAUCAACAAAAUAAGGAGCUACGGAAGCACGCGAUGGACGGACCACGACGUCGUCCGACUGAUGCUAAGGUCCUUUACCGUUCUUGAUCCUCAUUUGGUGAAUAAUAUUCGUGAGAAUCCCAGGUACACCAAAAUGUCGCCCGAAGAAGUCCUCGGAAAAUUCGUUAGCGGGCGAAUGAUGAUCAAGGAGGUGAGGUACGUGGACGACGCCUUGAAUGGUCCAAUCAACGAGUCGCAACCCCUUGCUCUCAAGGCAACAAGAAGCAAGGAGGCGCUACCUAGCAAGUUGGCACAGAUUGAGGCGGCCGGACUUAAUGAUGAAGAGAUGGCCCUCAUCAUCAAAAGAUUCAAGACGGCGCUUAAGGGUCGCAAGGGACAGCCAAGCAAGACCAAAGCCAAGGGGAAGCGCUCAUGCUUCAAAUGCGGUAAGCUUGGUCAUUUUAUUGCUAACUGUCCUGACAAUGAUAGUGAUCAGGAACAAGGGAACAAGAGGGAGAAGAAGAAGAAGUAUAAGAAGGCAAAAGGCGAGGCGCAUCUAGGCAAGGAGUGGGAUUCGGAUUGCUCCUCUUCCGACUCUGACAAUGAGGGACUCGCCGCCACCGCCUUCAACAAAUCGGCCCUCUUUCCAAACGAGCGUCACACAUGCCUUAUGGCAAGAGAGAAGAAGGUAUGUACUCAAAACUCUACUUAUGCUUCUUCAAGUGAGGACGAAUCUAGUAAUGAGGAUGAAAUAGAUUAUUCAUGUUUGUUUAAGGGCCUAGAUAGAACCAAGGUAGACAAAAUUAAUGAAUUGAUUGAUGCCUUGAAUGAUAAGAAUAUGCUUUUAGAAAAGCAAGAGGAUUUGUUGUAUGAAGAACAUGAUAAAUUUGUAGAAGCACAAAAGUCUCUUGCUCUAGAAAUUAAAAGGAAUGAAAUGCUCUCUAGUGAAUUAUCUUCUUGUCAUGAAACUAUUGCUACGUUAAAAAGUUUUAAUGAUGAUUUAAAUGCUAAACUAGAAGUAGCUAGUAAAUCUAAUUCUUGUGUAGAAAUUGUUGAAACUUGUAAUAGGUGUAAAGAUUUUGACAUUGAUGCUUGUAGUGAUCAUUUAGUUUCAAUUUCCAAAUUAAAUGAGGAAUUAGCUAGUCUUAAUGCCCAACUUAAGACUAGCAAGAACGAAUUUGACAAGCUAAAAUUUGCAAGGGAUGCCUACACGAUUGGUAGACACCCCUCAAUUAAGGAUGGACUUGGCUACAAGAGGGAAGCCAAGAACUUGACAAGCCAUAAGGCUCCCAUCUCCGCCAAGGAGAAAGGGAAGGCCCCUAUGACUAGUAGUGUGCAAAAGAACCAUGCCUUUAUGUACCAUGAUAGGAGACAAUCUAGAAAAGCUUAUAGGAGUUGUAAUGCAUAUAAUGCCUUUGAUUCUCAUGCCAUGUUUGCUUCUAGUUCUUCUUAUGUGCAUAAUAGAAAUGUUGGUAGGAGAACAUAAUAUGCCUAGGAGAAAUGUUGUUAAUGUUCCUAGGAAAGUAAAUGAACCUUCUACAAUAUAUCAUGCUUUAAAUGCUGCUUUUGCUAUUUGUAGAAAGGAUAGGAAGAUAGUUGCUAGAAAAUUAGGGGCAAGAUGCAAGGGAGACAAAACUUGCAUUUGGGUCCCUAAGGAUAUUUGUGCUAACCUUGUAGGACCCAACAUGAGUUGGGUACCUAAGACCCAAGCCUAAAUUUGCCUUGCAGGUUUAUGCAUCCGGGGGUUCAAGCUGGAUUAUUGACAGCGGAUGCACAAACCAUAUGACGGGGGAGAAGAAGAUGUUCACCUCCUACGUCAAAAACAAAGAUUCCCAAGAUUCAAUAAUAUUCGGUGAUGGGAAUCAAGGCAAAGUAAAAGGGCUAGGUAAAAUUGCAAUCUCCAAUGAGCACUCUAUCUCUAAUGUGUUUUUAGUAGAGUCUCUUGGAUAUAAUUUACUAUCUGUUAGUCAAUUAUGUAAUAUGGGAUAUAAUUGUUUAUUUACAAAUGUAGAUGUGUCUGUCUUUAGAAGAUGUGAUGGUUCACUAGCUUUUAAGGGUGUACUAGACGGCAAACUUUACUUAGUUGAUUUUGCAAAAGAAGAGGCCGGUCUAGAUGCAUGCUUAAUUGCUAAGACUUGCAUGGGCUGGUUGUGGCAUCGCUGCUUAGCACAUGUGGGGAUGAAGAACCUCCACAAGCUUCUAAAGGGAGAACACGUGAUAGGUCUAACCAAUGUUCAUUUCGAAAAAGAUAGACCUUGUGCAGCUUGUCAAGCAGGUAAACAAGUGGGAGGAGCACAUCACAGCAAGAAUGUGAUGACCACGUCAAGACCUCUGGAGCUGCUGCAUAUGGACCUCUUCGGACCCGUCGCCUAUCUGAGCAUAGGAGGAAGUAAGUAUGGUCUAGUUAUAGUUGAUGACUUUUCCCGCUUCACUUGGGUGUUCUUUUUGCAGGAUAAGUCUGAAACCCAAGGGACCCUCAAGCGCUUCCUAAGGAGAGCUCAAAAUGAGUUUGAGCUCAAGGUGAAGAAGAUAAGGAGCGACAACGGGUCCGAAUUCAAGAACCUUCAAGUGGAGGAGUUCCUUGAGGAGGAGGGGAUCAAGCACGAGUUCUCCGCUCCCUACACACCUCAACAAAAUGGUGUGGUAGAGAGGAAGAACAGGACGCUCAUAGAUAUGGCGAGGACUAUGCUUGGAGAGUUCAAGACCCCCGAGUGCUUUUGGUCGGAAGCCGUGAACACGGCUUGCCACGCCAUCAACAGGAUCUACCUUCACCGCCUCCUCAAGAAGACUUCAUAUGAGCUGCUGACUGGUAACAAACCCAAUGUAUCGUACUUUCGUGUAUUUGGGAGUAAAUGCUACAUUCUAGUGAAGAAGGGUAGGAAUUCCAAAUUUGCUCCCAAAGCCGUAGAAGGGUUUUUAUUAGGUUAUGAUUCAAAUACAAAGGCGUAUAGGGUCUUCAACAAAUCAUUGAGUUUGGUUGAAGUCUCUAGCGACGUUGUAUUUGAUGAGACUAAUGGCUCUCCAAGAGAGCAAGUUGUUGAUCUUGAUGAUGUAGAUGAAGAAGACGUUCCAACGGCCGCGAUGCGCACCAUGGCGAUUGGAGAUGUAUGGCCUCAGGAACAUUUGGAGCAAGAUCAACCGUCUUUCUCAACUAUGGUGCAUCCCCCAACUCAAGACGAUGAACAGGUUCAUCAACAGGAGGCGUGUGAUCAAGGGGGAGCACAAGAUGAUCAUGUGAUGGAGGAAGAAGCGCAACCGGCACCUCCAACCCAAGUUCGAGCGAUGAUUCAAAGGGAUCAUCCCGUCGAUCAAAUUCUGGGUGAUAUUAGCAAGGGAGUAACUACUCAAUCUCGAUUAGUUAAUUUUUGUGAGCAUUACUCCUUUGUCUCUUCUAUUGAGCCUUUCAGGGUAGAAGAGGCCUUGCUAGAUCCAGACUGGGUGUUGGCCAUGCAAGAGGAGCUCAACAACUUCAAGAGGAAUGAAGUUUGGACGCUGGUGCCUCGUCCUAAGCAAAAUGUUGUGGGAACCAAGUGGGUGUUCCGCAACAAACAGGACGAGCACGGGGUGGUGACGAGAAACAAGGCUCGACUUGUGGCAAAAGGUUAUGCCCAAGUCGCAGGUUUGGACUUUGAGGAGACUUUUGCUCCUGUGGCUAGGCUAGAGUCAAUUCGUAUUUUGCUAGCAUAUGCCGCUCACCAUUCUUUCAGGUUGUACCAAAUGGAUGUGAAGAGCGCUUUCCUCAACGGGCCGAUCAAGGAGGAGGUGUAUGUAGAGCAACCCCCUGGCUUCGAGGAUGAACGGUACCCCGACCACGUGUGUAAGCUCUCUAAGGCGCUCUAUGGACUUAAGCAAGCCCCAAGAGCAUGGUAUGAAUGCCUUAGAGACUUUUUAAUUGCUAAUGCUUUCAAGGUCGGGAAAGCCGAUCCAACUCUUUUUACUAAGACUUCCGAUGGUGAUCUUUUUGUGUGCCAAAUUUAUGUCGAUGACAUAAUAUUUGGUUCUACUAAUCAAAAGUCUUGUGAAGAGUUUAGCAGGGUGAUGACGCAGAAAUUCGAGAUGUCGAUGAUGGGCGAGUUGAACUACUUCCUUGGGUUCCAAGUGAAGCAACUCAAGGACGGCACCUUCAUCUCUCAAACGAAGUACACGCAAGACUUGCUGAAGCGGUUUGGGAUGAAGGACGCCAAGCCCACAAAAACUCCAAUGGGGACCGACGGACACACAGACCUCAACAAAGGAGGUAAGUCCAUUGAUCAAAAGGCAUACCGGUCAAUGAUAGGGUCUUUACUUUAUUUAUGUGCUAGUAGACCGGAUAUUAUGCUUAGCGUAUGCAUGUGUGCUAGAUUUCAAUCCGAUCCUAAGGAGUGUCACUUCGUGGCAGUGAAGCGAAUCCUUAGAUAUUUAGAUGCUACGCCUUGCUUCGGGCUCUGGUAUCCAAAGGGGUCUACCUUUGACUUGAUUGGAUAUUCAGAUUCCGACUAUGCUGGAUGUAAGGUCGAUAGGAAGAGUACAUCGGGGACGUGCCAAUUCUUAGGAAGGUCCCUGGUGUCAUGGAAUUCUAAGAAACAAACCUCUGUUGCCCUAUCCACCGCUGAGGCCGAGUAUGUUGCCACAGGACAGUGUUGCGCGCAACUACUUUGGAUGAGGCAAACCCUCAGGGACUUUGGCUACAAUCUGAGCAAAGUCCCACUCCUAUGUGAUAAUGAGAGUGCUAUCCGCAUGGCGGAAAAUCCUGUUGAACACAGCCGCACAAAGCACAUAGACAUCCGGCAUCACUUUUUGAGAGACCACCAGCAAAAGGGAGAUAUCGAAGUGUUUCAUGUUAGCACCGAGAACCAGCUAUCCGAUAUCUUUACCAAGCCUCUAGAUGAGAAGACCUUUUGCAGGCUGUGUAGUGAGCUCAAUAUCUUAGAUUCACGGAACUUGGAUUGAAAUGUAGCAUACAUGUGUUUAUGCCUUUGAUCAUGUUCAUUCUGCAUUUUGUUGCUUAUUGUGGUGCUCAAGUUGUACAAACACUCCCUGGACCUCACAAGUCCUUUUUGCAAGUGAUGCACAUAUUUAGGGGGAGCUGUGCUACAACUUGACCCUUUGAGACUAACCAUGUACUUGAGUUUGGUUGUUUUAGCCUCAAAGGAGGAUUGAAAGGGAAAAGGUGGACUUGGACCAUGCAAGACUUCCACUGCACUCCGAUAAAAAGAGUAACUUUUCCAAGUUCAUCUUUAUACUCUUAUUGCCUUUGUGUCCUCAUUUGAUGAUUUUGGUGAGGCAAUGGGGUUAAAGGGCCAAGAUUAAUCCCGUUUUGGUGCUUGAUGCCAAAGGGGGAGAAAAUAAAGGCCAAAGCAAUAAAUGGAUCAGCUACCACUUGAGAGAUUUUGAGAAUAGUAGAAUAGAGUCUUUGGUUUGUCAAAACUCGAGUUUUUUGGUUUGUCAAAACUCUUUUAUUGUCUCUCUUGUCAAAAGUUGGCUUCUUGUAGGGAGAAGUAUUGAUUAUGGGAAAAAGGGGGAGUUUUUGAAAUCUUGAAUCAAUUUCUAUUGGAAUGACUCUAUGUAUGUCUUAACAUGUGGUUUUGACUUAGAGAUAGGAAUUUGAGUUUGAUUUGCAAAAACAAACCAAGUGGUGGCAUAGAGUGAUCCAUAUAUGUCAAAUUUGAAUCAAAAUAAUUUGAGUUCUUAUUUGAAGUGAUUUUGUACUUGUUCUACUUGCAUUAUGUUGUGUUGGCAUAAAUCACCAAAAAGGGGGAAAUUGAAAGGGAAAUGUGCCCUUGGGCCAUUUCUAAGUAUUUUGGUGAUUUAGUGUCCAACACAAGUGCCUAAGUGUAAAAUGGUGGACAAAGUACAAAUCAAGGAUAAAGGUAUGUUUCUCAGACUUAGUACAUUGUUUUAUGGACUAAUCUAUUGUGUCUAAGUGCUGGAAACAGGAAAAAUCCAAUUGGAAUUGUCUUGGCUCGAGCAGCCAAGACUCUGCUCAGUCUGGGAGCACCGGACUGUCCGGUGGUGCACCGGACAGUGUCCGGUGCGCCAGGCUGGUUCGAGCGAAGUGGCCGCUCUCGGGAAUUCACCGGCGACGUACGGCUAUAAUUCACCGGACUGUCCGGUGUGCACCGGACUGUCCGGUGAGCCAACGGUCGGCCGCGCGAUCUGCGCGGGACACGUGGCCGAGCCAACGGCUAGAAGGGGGCACCGGACUGUCCGGUGUGCACCGGACAUGUCCGGUGCGCCAACGGCUCUCUGGCGGCCAACGGUCGGCUGCACUAGUUAAGGAAAGAAAUCGGGCACCAGACAGUGUCCGGUGUGCACCGGACUGUCCGGUGCGCCAGUCGACAGAAGGCAAGAUCAGCCUUCCUAGAUUGCUCUCAACGGCUCCUAGCUGCCUUGGGGCUAUAAAAGGGACCCCUAGGCGCAUGGAGGAGAACACCAAGCAUUCUUACAACAUUCCUAAGCACCAAGACAUCGAUUCCGCGCCUUUGAUUCUUUGCGAUAGCAAUUAGAGCUCUAGUUGAGUGGUGAACUCUUUGAGUUGUGUUGAGAGCUCUCCUUGUGACUUGUGUGUGUGGUGUUGCUGUGAUUUCUUGUCUUGAGUGCGUUGCUAAUCCCUCCCUUGCUCUGUGUUUCUUUGUGAUCUUAAAGUGUAAGGGCGAGAGGCUCCAAGUUGUGGAGAUUCCUCGCAAACGGGAUUGAGUAAAAGCAAGCAAAACACCGUGGUAUUCAAGUGGGUCUUUGGACCGCUUGAGAGGGGUUGAUUGCAACCCUCGUCCGUUGGGACGCCACAACGUGGAGUAGGCAAGCGUUGGUCUUGGCCGAACCACGGGAUAACCACCGUGCCAUCUCUGAGAUUGAUCUUGUUGGUUAUUGUGUUUUGUUGAAGAUUCCUCUCUUGCCACUUGGCGGUUAUUGUGCUAACACUUAACCAAGUUUUUGUGGCUUAAGUUUUCAAGAUUUACAGGAUCACCUAUUCACCCCCCCCCCCCUCUAGGUGCUCUCAGUAGGGAGAAGAGAACUCAUGCUUGAUUCCCUCCUCCUCAAGGAAGCCUUCGAUUUGAGAGUUCUUGAACUCCGUCCCGUUGUCGCUUCUAAUCUUUUUGAUCCUUAAGCCGAACUCAUUUUGAGCCCGUCUCAAGGAUCCCUUUAAGGUCUCUUGGGUAUGAGAUUUUUCCUGCAAAAAGAACACCCAAGUGAAGCGAGAAUAGUCAUCCACAAUAACUAGACAGUACUUACUCCCGCCGAUGCUUAUGUAAGCUAUCGGGUCGAAUAGAUCCAUGUGUAGGAGCUCGAGUGGCCUGUCAGUUGUCAUGAUGUUCUUGUGUGGAUGAUGAACACCAACUUGCUUCCCUGCCUGACAUGCGCUACAAAUCAUGUCUUUCUCAAAAUGAACAUUUGUUAGUCCCAAAAUGUGUUCUCCCUUUAGAAGCUUAUGAAGAUUCUUCAUUCCAACAUGUGCUAGUCGGUGGUGCCAGAGCCAGCCCAUGUUAGUCUUAGCAAUUAAGCAAGUGUCGAGUUCAGCUCUAUCAAAAUCUACUAAGUAUAGCUGACCCUCUAACACUCCCUUAAAUGCUAUUGAAUCAUCACUUCUUCUAAAGACAGUGACACCUACAUCCGUAAAAAGACAGUUGUAACCCAUUUUACAUAAUUGCGAAACUGAAAGCAAGUUAUAAUCUAAAGAAUCUACAAGAAAAACAUUGGAAAUGGAAUGGUCAGGUGAUAUAGCUAUUUUACCCAAUCCUUUGACCAAACCUUGAUUUCCAUCCCCGAAUGUGAUAGCUCGUUGGGGAUCUUGGUUUUUCUCAUAGAAGGAGAACAUCUUCUUCUCCCCUGUCAUAUGGUUUGUGCACCCGCUAUCGAUGAUCCAACUUAAGCCCCCGGAUGCAUAAACCUACAAAACAAGUUUAGUUCUUGAUUUUAGGUACCCAAACGGUUUUGGGUCCUUUGACAUUAGAUACAAGAACUUUGGGUACCCAAACACAAGUCUUGGAACCCUUGUGUUUGUCCCCAACAUAUUUGUCAACUACCUUGUCGAAUUUGUUAGUUAAAACAUAGGAUGCAUCAAAAGUUUUAAAUGAAAUAUUAUGAUCAUUUGAUGCAAUAGGAGUUUUCUUUCUAGGCAAUUUAGCAUGGGUUGAUUGCCUAGAGCUAGAUGUCUCACCCUUAUACAUAAAAGCAUGAUUAGGGCCAGAGUGAGACUUCCUAGAGUGAAUUCUCCUAAUUUUGCUCUCGGGAUAACCGGCAGGAUACAAAAUGUAACCCUCGUUAUCCUGAGGCAUGGGAGCCUUUCCCUUUACAAAGUUAGACAAUCUUUUAGGAGGGGCAUUAAGUUUGACAUUGUCCCCCUUUUGGAAGCCUAUGUCAUCCUUGAUGCCAGGGCGUCUCCCACUAUAGAGCAUGCUUCUAGCAAAUUUAAAUUUUUCAUUUUCUAAGUUAUGCUCAUUAAUUUUAGCAUUAAGUUGAGCUAUGUGAUCAUUUUGUUUCUUAAUUAAGGCUAGGUGAUCAUGAAUAGCAUCAACAUUAAUGUCUCUACAUCUAGUACAAAUGGAAACAUGCUCAAUGGUAGAUGUAGAGGGUUUGCAAGAAUUAAGUUCAACAAUCUUAGCACGUAAAAUAUCAUUCUUGUCUCUAAGAUCGGAAAUGGAAGCAUUGCAAACAUCUAAAUCCUUAGCCUUAGCAAUCAAAUUUUCAUUUUCAUUUCUAAGGCUAGCAAGAGCAACAUUCAAUUCAUCAAUCUUAGCAAGUAAGUCGACAUUAUCAUCUCUCAGAUUAGGAAUUGAAGUAUCACAAACAUUAGAAUCAACCUUAGCAAUUAAUUUAGCAUUUUCAUUUCUAAGGUUGGCAAUAGUGUCAUGGCAAGUGCUUAGGUCACUAGAUAGUUUUUCACAUUUUUCUACUUCUAGAGCGUAAGCAUUUUUAACCUUAACAUGCUUCUUAUUUUCCUUAAUUAGGAAGUCCUCUUGGGUGUCCAAGAGUUCAUCCUUCUCAUGAAUAGCACUAAUUAAUUUAUUUAGUUUUUCUUUUUGUUGCAUGCUAAGGUUGGCAAAAAGGAUGUGCAAGUUAUCCUCCUCAUCACUAUCAUUAUCCUCAUCACUAGAGGUUUCAUAUUUAGUGGAGGAUCUUGAUUUUACCUUCUUCCUUUUGCCGUCCUUUGCCAUGAGGCACUUGUGGCCGAUGUUGGGGAAGAGGAGUCCCUUGGUGACGGCGAUGUUGGCAGCGUCCUCGUCGGAGGAGGAGUCGGAGGAGCUCUCCUUGGAGUCCCACUCGCGGCACACAUGGGCAUCGCCGCCCCUCUUCUUGUGGUACCUCUUCUUUUCCCUCCUCUUGCCCUUCUUGUUGUCGCCCCUGUCACUAUCACUAGAUAACGGACAUUUAGCAAUGAAAUGACCGGGCUUACCACAUUUGUAGCACACUUUCCUGGGGCAGGGCUUGUAAUCCUUCCCCCUCCGUUGCUUGAGGAUUUGGCGGAAGCUCUUGAUGAUGAGCGCCAUUUCCUCGUUGUCGAGCUUAGAUGCAUUGAUGGGUUGUCUACUUGAUGUAGACUCCUCCUUGUUCUCCUCUGUCGCCUUGAAUGCGACCGGUUGUGCUUCGGACGUGGAGGGGCCAUCUAGCUCGAUGAUUUUCUUUGAGCCUUUGAUCAUCAACUCAAAGCUCACAAAAUUUCCUAUUACUUCCUCGGGAGACAUUAGUGUAUAUCUAGGAUUUCCUCGAAUUAAUUGAACUUGCGUAGGGUUAAGAAAAAUGAGGGAUCUUAGAAUAACCUUGACCAUCUCAUGGUCAUCCCAUUUUGUGCUUCCGAGGUUGCGCACUUGGUUCACCAAGGUCUUCAAGCGGUUGUACAUGGCUUGAGGGUCCUCGCCUUGGUUGAGUCAGAACCGACCGAGCUCCCCCUCGAUCGUUUCCCGCUUGGUGAUUUUGGUCACCUCAUCUCCUUCGUGCGCGGUCUUGAGUACAUCCCAAAUUUCCUUGGCGCUCUUUAAUCCUUGCACCUUGUUAUACUCCUCUCGACUUAGAGAGGUGAGGAGUAUAGUGGUGGCUUGGGAGUUAAAGUGUCGGAUUUGGGCGACCUCGUCCGAAUCAUAAUCUUCAUCCCCGGUGAAGGUACAUGUACUCCAAUCUCAACAACAUCCCAAAUGCUAGUGUGGAGUGAGUUAGAUGAUGCCUCAUUUUAUCACUCCACAUAUUAUAAUCUUCACCAUCAAACAUAGGUGGUUUGCCUAAUGGGACGGAAAGUAAUGGAGUACGUUUGGAAAUGCGAGGGUAGCGUAGGGGAAUCUUACUAAACUUCUUGCGCUCAUGGCGCUUAGAAGUUACGGACGGCGUGUCGGAGCCAGAGGUGGAUGGCGAUGAAGAGUCGGUCUCGUAGUAGACCACCUUCCUCAUCUUCUUCUUCUUGUCACCGCUCCGACCCGACUUGUUGUGUGAAGGGGAUCCCUUCACCUUGUUGGCGGACUCCCCGGAUGGAGCCUUCCCAUGGCUUGUAGCGGGCUUCUCGCCGGUCAUCAUCUCCUUCUUGGCGUGAUCUCCCGACAUCACUUCGAGCGGUUAAGCUCUAAUGAAGCACCGGGCUUUGAUACCAAUUGAAAAUCGCCUAGAGGGGGUGAAUAGGGCGAAUCUGAAAUUUAUGAACUUAAGCACAACUACAAGUCGGGUUAGCGUUAGAAAUAUAAACAAGUCCGAGAGAGAGAGAGCGCAAAACAAAUUGUGAUCAAAUAAAGAGCGAGACACGAUGAUUUGUUUUUCCGAGGUUCGGUUCUUGCAAACCUACUCCCCGUUGAGGUGGUCAUGAAGACCGGGUCUCUUUCAACCCUUUCCCUCUCUCAAACGGUCACCUAGACCGAGUGAGCUUCUCUUCUCAAUCAAACGGAACACGAAGUUCCCGCAAGGACCACCACACAAUUGGUGUCUCUUGCCUUGGUUACAAUUGAGUUUGAUCACAAGAAGAAUGAGAAAGAAAAGAAGCAAUCCAAGCGCAAGAGCUCAAAUGAACACAACAAAUCUCUCUCUCUAAUCACUAAAGCUUUGUGUGGAGUUGGGAGAAGAUUUGAUCUCUUUGGUGUGUCUUGAAUUCAAUGCUAUAGCUCUUGUAAGGUGUAGAAGUGUAGAAACUUGGAUGCCAUUGAAUGUGGGGUGGUUGGGGUAUUUAUAGCCCCAACCACCAAAAAUGGCCGAUGGAAGUGUGCUGUCGCAUGGCGCACCGGACAGCCGUUGGGGUUCGACCGUUGGAGUUCUGACUUGUGGGGCCUCUGGGCUGUCCGGUGGUGCACCGGACAAGUCCUGUAGACUGUCCGGUGCGCCAACUGCGCGUGCUCUGACUCUGGCGCGCACUGUAGCGCAAUUAAUGCGGUUGCAGACGACCGUUGCGUGCGAAGUAGCCGUUGCUCCGCUGGCACAUCGGACAGUCCGGUGUGGCAUCGGACACUGUCCGGUGCUUCACUGGAUAGUCUGGUGAAUUAUAGCGGAGCGCCCUCUGAUUUUCCCGAAGGUAGCGAGUUCAGCGUCGAGUGCCCUGGUGCACCGGACACUGUCCGGUGGUGCACCGGACACGGUACGGUGGCACACCGGUCGGUCUGGUGCGCCAGACCAGGGUGCCUUGGGUUGUCUUUUGCUCUCUUUGUUUGAACCCUUUCUUGGUAUUUUAUUGGCUUAAUGUGAACCUUUGGCACCUGUAAAACUUAUAGACUAGAGCAAACUAGUUAGUCCAAUUAUUUGUGUUGGGCAAUUCAACCACCAAAAUCAAUUAGGAAAUAGGUGUAACCCUAAUUCCCUUUCACUUAUAUUACCUUGAAUGCCCAACGGUGCAGUGUCCAUGAUUUCAAGUUCCUGAAUGACAGCUCCACUUA
rnacentral:lncRNA from 1 species